GACCGCUCCGUUGGCCUAGCGGUUAGAGCGUCCGCCUCAAAUGCAGGAGGCCGCAGGUUCGCAUCCCGCCAGAGUCA